CAUAUACAGCUUAACCAGAUCUACAACCGCAGUGACAUGCGGCCAAAUUUUGUGGGCUGUAAAGUGAAGAACUUCAGAUCUACAGGCCAGAUGGAUCAAACAGUUGUCGAUUCCACCUGCACAUUUCUAGUGGGCUUCAACCCAAGGACUUUGGAAGCAGCUGAAGUAUAUGACAUAUUUAAGAACAAGACUGACGGUGCCUCAGUGUUGGGCCAAUAUCCCCUCGACAGUGAAAGCUUGUUAGUUGACGGCUACCCUUUAACGGAGAUUCCAGUAGAAAACAGAAACGGUAAGCAAUGCUCUGUUGUCUCAGCAGCUGGUCCAGACCUGAGAAUCCUGCAAGUGGGUUGUCCCAAGUGACCAUCACCCUUCGGAGCUGGUCCUAGGGAUCAAUCCAUCUUUCUGAUUUCCCAUCAUGCCCCAGAGCAAUACAAAAGUCACAUGUUCUGAACCCAAAUGGUCCUCACAGUAAGGGAAGUUUGGUGGAACUGAUUAUUUGAGGAGGCAGUGGAGGCCUGAAGUNGAAGAAUUGGGAAUGCUUUAAUUUGGAUUCACUUAUGGAAGAGAGGAGUAGACUAGAUGACCUCAAGCAACCCUUGCAAUUCUCAGAUUGAAAUGCUCUUCAGUCUGGAACAAUAGGCAUCAGAAUCCAACCACCCUGGAAAAGCUGCCCAACUCUGUUCUGCUGGAUUAUAAC
rnacentral:lncRNA from 1 species